rnacentral:rRNA from 1 species
CACGUAGGCACCAAGCGUUGUCCGGAUUUAUUGGGCGUAAAGAGCUCGUAGGCGGUUCAGUAAGUCAGGUGUGAAAUCUUUGGGCUUAACCCAAAGCGUGCAUUUGAUACUGCUGUGACUUGAGUUCGGUAGGGGAGUGGGGAAUUCCUAGUGUAGCGGUGAAAUGCGCAGAUAUUAGGAGGAACACCGGUGGCGAAGGCGCCACUCUAGGCCGAAACUGACGCUGAGGAGCGAAAGCGUGGGGAGCAAACAGG